rnacentral:lncRNA from 1 species
UAACUUAUACUAUAAAUGGGGUCACCUCUAAGCCAUUCCAUAAUUUCACUAAUUCAAAAACCUAUAAGUUUUCUGAAAAAGUCUCUAAACAAACUAAAGAACUUGAAAAAAUUCUGACAAAUGCCAUAUAAGUUUUGAAGAAAAGCCACAUUCUGAUUUAGUUUAACUGAGGAAGCCAAAAGUUAUUUUUGAAAAAAAAAAUUGCCUUUUG